AUGCCUUAAACUUAUGAGUAAGGAAAUUAACGAUUCGGGGUUGUAGCUGGAGAGUUUUCUCUCUGGGUCCCGCCAAGCCCCAGCAAUCCAACAGUCCACUUAUUGUUUCCCUCUGCCUUCCUGUUCUCUCAAAUCUCCUGUUAGUCCCGCCUAUACUUCCUGCCUGGCUACUGGCCAAUCAGUGUUUUUAUUGACCAAUCAGAGCCAACACAUUUGACAUACAGACCAUCCCACAGCACAGGGUGAUGCCUGAGUCCCCAUUGCUGACGUGAGAAGAAUUUUUGAGUGGGUAAAGGUUGCUCCCUAAGGCGACCCACCUACCUUGCAGGAUGCCUGGGUGUGGUAGUCUGCCCG